rnacentral:rRNA from 1 species
CAAGGGGUAGCAAUACACCGGCGGACGGGUGCGUAACGCGUACACAACAUACCUUUAAGCGGGGGAUAGCAUUGGGAAACUGGUGGUAAUACCCCAUAACAUUGCGUUUCGGCAUUGGAAUGCAAUUAAAGUUUUGGCGCUUAGAGAUUGGUGUGCGUCUGAUUAGCUAGUUGGCGGGGUAACGGCCCACCAAGGCGACGAUCAGUAGGGGGUGUGAGAGCAUGACCCCCCACAUGGGUACUGAGACACGGACCCAACUCCUACGGGAGGCAGCAGUAAGGAGUAUUGGACAAUGGGCGGAAGCCUGAUCCAGCCAUGCCGCGUGAAGGAUGAAGGCGCUCAGCGUUGUAAACUUCUUUUGGAUGGGGACAAUAACUUUCGUUUAUGAGAGCUUGAGGGUACCAUCAGAAUAAGCACCGGCUAACUCCGUGCCAGCAGCCGCGGUAAUACGGAGGGUGCAAGCGUUAUCCGGAAUCACUGGGUUUAAAGGGUGCGUAGGCGGUCAGAUAAGUCAGUCGUGAAAUUCUCCGGCUUAACCGGGUGGACUGCGAUUGAUACUGUUUGACUUGAAUGAGGUUGAGGUAGGCGGAAUGUGGCAUGUAGCGGUGAAAUGCUUAGAUAUGCCAUAGAACACCGAUUGCGAAGGCAGCUUGCUGGGCCUUCAUUGACGCUGAGGCACGAAAGCGUGGGGAGCAAACAG